UACGAAGGGGGCGAGCGUUGUUCGGAUUUACUGGGCGUAAAGGGCGCGCAGGCGGCUCUGAAAGUCAGAUGUGAAAGCCCCGGGCUUAACCUGGGAAUUGCAUUUGAUACUCUGGAGCUUGAGUACGGGAGAGGAGAGUGGAAUUCCCAGUGUAGAGGUGAAAUUCGUAGAUAUUGGGAAGAACACCGGUGGCGAAGGCGGCUCUCUGGACCGUAACUGACGCUGAGGCGCGAAAGCGUGGGGAGCAAACAGG
rnacentral:rRNA from 1 species